rnacentral:rRNA from 1 species
GGGUUGUGAGGUUAAGCGACUAAGCGUACACGGUGGAUGCCCUGGCAGUCAGAGGCGAUGAAGGACGUGCUAAUCUGCGAUAAGCGCCGGUAAGGUGAUAUGAACCGUUAUAACCGGCGAUUUCCGAAUGGGGAAACCCAGUGUGAUUCGUCACACUAUCAUUAACUGAAUCCAUAGGUUAAUGAGGCGAACCGGGGGAACUGAAACAUCUAAGUACCCCGAGGAAAAGAAAUCAACCGAGAUUCCCCCAGUAGCGGCGAGCGAACGGGGAGGAGCCCAGAGCCUGAAUCAGCAUGUGUGUUAGUGGAAGCGUCUGGAAAGGCGCGCGAUACAGGGUGACAGCCCCGUACACAAAAGCGCAUGUGCUGUGAGCUCGAUGAGUAGGGCGGGACACGUGGUAUCCUGUCUGAAUAUGGGGGGACCAUCCUCCAAGGCUAAAUACUCCUGACUGACCGAUAGUGAACCAGUACCGUGAGGGAAAGGCGAAAAGAACCCCGGCGAGGGGAGUGAAAAAGAACCUGAAACCGUGUACGUACAAGCAGUGGGAGCACAGGUUUACCUGUGUGACUGCGUACCUUUUGUAUAAUGGGUCAGCGACUUAUAUUCUGUAGCAAGGUUAACCGUAUAGGGGAGCCGGAGGGAAACCGAGUCUUAACCGGGCGUUAAGUUGCAGGGUAUAGACCCGAAACCCGGUGAUCUAGCCAUGGGCAGGUUGAAGGUUGGGUAACACUAACUGGAGGACCGAACCGACUAAUGUUGAAAAAUUAGCGGAUGACCUGUGGCUGGGGGUGAAAGGCCAAUCAAACCGGGAGAUAGCUGGUUCUCCCCGAAAGCUAUUUAGGUAGCGCCUCGUGAAUUCAUCUCCGGGGGUAGAGCACUGUUUCGGCUAGGGGGCCAUCCCGGCUUACCAACCCGAUGCAAACUGCGAAUACCGGAGAAUGUUAUCACGGGAGACACACGGCGGGUGCUAACGUCCGUCGUGAAGAGGGAAACAACCCAGACCGCCAGCUAAGGUCCCAAAGUCAUGGUUAAGUGGGAAACGAUGUGGGAAGGCCCAGACAGCCAGGAUGUUGGCUUAGAAGCAGCCAUCAUUUAAAGAAAGCGUAAUAGCUCACUGGUCGAGUCGGCCUGCGCGGAAGAUGUAACGGGGCUAAACCAUGCACCGAAGCUGCGGCAGCGACACUCAGGUGUUGUUGGGUAGGGGAGCGUUCUGUAAGCCUGUGAAGGUGGCCUGUGAGGGUUGCUGGAGGUAUCAGAAGUGCGAAUGCUGACAUAAGUAACGAUAAAGCGGGUGAAAAGCCCGCUCGCCGGAAGACCAAGGGUUCCUGUCCAACGUUAAUCGGGGCAGGGUGAGUCGACCCCUAAGGCGAGGCCGAAAGGCGUAGUCGAUGGGAAACGGGUUAAUAUUCC